UUUCUUCGGACCCCAAAUCAAAUUUGAAAAUCAAAUCCAAAUCGAAAUCAAACAGAAAAAUCAAAACGGGGAUUUCUUCGGACCCCAAAUCCAAAUCGAGAUGAAAAGGGGAUUUCUUCGAACUCCAAAUCAAACCAAAAUCAAAAGGGAACUUCUUCGGAUCCGAACCAAAUUGCAAAAAUCAAAAGUGAAUUGCCCCGAACCCGAAAUAAAAUCCGAACCCAAACCAAACCAAAACCAAAUACAGUCCACAAAUAAACCCAAACCCAAAACCCAAAUCAAAUCCAAACCCAAACCCAAACCUAGUCUACAAAUAAACCCAAACUUGAACCCAAAUCAAACCCAAAACCCAAACCAAACCCAAAACCCAAAUAAACCCAAACCAAACCAAGUCCACAUAAAGAACCCAAACCCAUUCCAUAAAUAAACCCAAGCCCAAACCAAAUCAAGUCCACAAAUAAAGCCAAAAACCAAAACCCAAAUAAAAUCCGAACCCAAAUCCAAAUCAAAUCAAAUCCAAACCUAAAACCAAAUCAAGUCCACAACCCAAGCCCACAACCCAAAUCCAAAACCCAAAUAAAAUCCAAACCAAAAUCCAAACCAAGUCCACAUAAAGAACCCAAACCCUUUUUCCACAAGGAAAUGGCACCAACAUCA
rnacentral:lncRNA from 1 species